rnacentral:rRNA from 1 species
GAUGAACGCUGGCGGCGCGCCUAAUACAUGCAAGUCGAGCGAACAGAUGAGGAGCUUGCUCCACUGACGUUAGCGGCGGACGGGUGAGUAACACGUGGAUAACCUACCUAUAAGCCUGGGAUAACUUCGGGAAACCGGAGCUAAUACCGGAUAAUAUAUUGAACCGCAUGGUUCAAUAGUGAAAGACGGUUUUGCUGUAACUUAUAGAUGGAUCCGCGCCGCAUUAGCUAGUUGUUAAGGUAACGGCUUACAAAGGGAACGAUGAGUAGCGGACCGGAGAGGUGGAUCGCCCACACGGGAACUGAGAACCGGUCCAAACUCCUACGGGAGGAGGAAGAAGGGAAUCUUCGGAAAUGGGGGAAAGCCUGACGGAGAAACGCGGCGUGAGUGAGGAAGGUCUCCGGAUCGAAAAACUCUGUUAUUAGGGAAGAACAAAUGGGUAAGUAACUAUGCACGUAUUGACGGUACCUAAUCAGAAAGCCACGGCUAACUACGUG